rnacentral:rRNA from 2 species
UGAGGAAUAUUGGUCAAUGGGCGAGAGCCUGAACCAGCCAAGUAGCGUGCAGGAUGACGGCCCUAUGGGUUGUAAACUGCUUUUUUGUGGGGAUAAAGUGCGUGACGUGUCAUGCAUUGCAGGUACCACAUGAAUAAGGACCGGCUAAUUCCGUGCCAGCAGCCGCGGUAAUACGGAAGGUCCGGGCGUUAUCCGGAUUUAUUGGGUUUAAAGGGAGCGUAGGCUGUCUAUUAAGCGUGUUGUGAAAUUUACCGGCUCAACCGGUGGCUUGCAGCGCGAACUGGUCGACUUGAGUAUGCAGGAAGUAGGCGGAAUUCAUGGUGUAGCGGUGAAAUGCUUAGAUAUCAUGACGAACUCCGAUUGCGCAGGCAGCUUACUGUAGCAUAACUGACGCUGAUGCUCGAAAGUGCGGGUAUCAAACAGG